rnacentral:rRNA from 1 species
CCUACGGGUGGCAGCAGUGAGGAAUAUUGGUCAAUGGCCGGAAGGCGGAACCAGACAUGCCGCGUGAAGGUCAGUGCCCUAUGGGCGUUAAACUUCUUUUGUGCGGGAGCAAUAAUGGUCAUGUGUGGCCAGACGAGAGUACCGUACGAAUAAGCAUCGGCUAACUCCGUGCUAGCAGCCGCGGUAAUACGGGGGAUGCAAGCGUUAUCCGGAUUUAUGGGGGUUAAAGGGUGCGGAGGCGGGGAGGUAAGGCAGCGGUGAAAUGCCCCCGCUCAACGGGGUGAAGUGCCAUUGAUACUGCCUUGCUGGAAUGCGGAUGCCGUGGGAGGAAUGUGUGGUGUAGCGGUGAAAUGCAUAGAUAUCACACAGAACACCGAUUGCGAAGGCAUCUCACGAAUCCGCGAUUGACGCUGAUGCACGAAAGCGUGGGUAUCAAACAGGAUUAGAUACCCUGGUAGUC